rnacentral:tRNA from 1 species
GCGCCCGUAGCUCAGCUGGAUAGAGUACCUGGCUUCGAACCAGGUGGUCGGGCGUUCGAAUCUCUCCGGGCGCGCCA